AUGGCAGCGCUUUCUAGCUGCAGGACGGCGAUGGCGACCCUGCUUCGGUGGCUCUGGUUCCGCCUCAGUGGACCAAGCAAGAAGGCAGGGAUGGCGCUCCGGAUCCCGCGGCUGCUUCGACACGCUGCGCCCAUCAAGGAAUCGCCAUGGCCGGACCUCCCGCCGGAGCUGCUGGGCCUGGUGCUCGUGCGCACGCUGUCCCACUCCGACCGCGUCCACAUUCGGGCAGUCUGCCACUCGUGGCGCUCCAGCGCGCAGCUGCAGCCACCGCCCCCGCUGCUCCCGUGGUUCGCCUUCCGCGACGGCACCUUCCUCAGCCUCGCUGACGGCACGGUCCACCGCCUGCCCGUCCCCGGUUACAACGACGUCUCCUACCGCGUGUCCACCGGCAGCAUGUUCUUCCUGGUGCACGAGCACGGCCAUCAAGAAGGCAGGUGGUGCUCCCUGAUGGACCCUUUCUCCGGGGAGAUCACCCCUCUCCCGAUCAACCCCGGCCACCUGGACCUCAGGAAUUUACGAGACAUCCGCAAGGUGGUGCCCGGUCGCGUCGUCGCCGUCUUGACCAGAACCAAGAGGAACUCCAAGAACGUCACCGUCUUCGCCGGUGGGCCACAGGGGACCAUGACCAUGGAGUGGGCGCCGCCUGUGAACAGCCAUGCCGCUGACAUUGCCACCUUCCAGGGGAAACUCUACGUCCUCACCGCAGAACGUGAUCAUCAGCCGGAGCUCCAUGUCCUGGACGUCGGUGACGAGGGCAUCAGGUCUGUCCAACGCAUCGGCGGCACGCCAAGGGAUGACGGUGAGGUGUAUCAGUUCUACUACUACCUCGUCCCGUCGGGCAGUCGGCUGCUGCUGGUGAGACGGAUCGCCGACGCGGAACCCGUCGGUGUGACGCGCUUCGACGUCUUCCAGGCGGUGGACCUGAGCGGCGGCCGUGGACGGUGGAGCAGGGUCGACACAUUGAUGGGGCAUGCUCUCUUCGUCAGCCAAAGCUGCUCUCGCUCGGCGCUUGCCGACGGCCAGUCGUGCGGGGGAGCUCGAGAAGACUGCAUCUACUUCAUGAGCGAGCUGGUCGGAAUCGGUAAUAUUCCCCAGGAUUUUCUCCACUCCGGUGUGUACAACCUGAAAGAGCAGACAGUGGCGCGGCUGCCCUAUGAGACAUCGGCAUUGUCGGUUGCUGGAUUAUGGGGCCCGUGGUCUCCAAAUCUGGCUUUUCCCGCCCGAAGUUUGAGUUAA
rnacentral:rRNA from 1 species